CAGUAAACUAAGUAUUUCUGUCCCUGUACAUCAAUACAUAGUUUUUUUUGUAAAGAUAGUAUAUAAGUGUUUCUGUCCAUCAAUACUCACUAUUUCCCCUAAAGUUCAAAAUUAUAUAAGUGUUUCUAUCCUUGUACUGUAGUACAUCAAUACUUACACUUUCUUCUAAAGGUAGUGUUUUAUAGAAGGUAGUGGAAUUAGUUAUCAUGUACAAGAUGUAUUUACGGGAUAUUUUUAACUCCAUGUUAUACAUGUAUGUUUGUCUCCUCAUUCAAAGGGCUUCCAAAGAAGAGGUGGACCCAAAGGAGACAUUGUAGACUCCGACGUGGAGGGGCUAGCUGGUGAGAAAGGGGAAAAGGUAUGUCUGGAGAAUCUGGCACUAAAGGACAGCACAGAGUGAGGAGACCUUGGACAUAAUGGUCCAACAUGGAGACUCUGGGAAGCCAGGUGAUGUAGGACCCCCUGGACUGCCUGGUCCUCGGGGGUUGAACGGCAUGAGCGGUGUGCAUGGCAGGCCGGGUAUUGAGGGUCCACCGGGACAAGAUAUAUCUGACCAGCAUAUUAUUGAUGUGGUAUAAAGAAUGUUGCAAGAGAGGCUGGCAGCAGUAGCAGUGAGCACUAAAAGGGCUGUGCCGUUGAACAACCGGCUAUUCUGGUCCUCCGUGAUUAAUGGUUCCACAAAGACCACAUGAUUUGCCUGGUUCCCGAAGAAUUCCUGGAACGAUGGGAGCUGACAGACGGAUUGGAAACACAUGUCUUAAAGACUCUGCAAGGCCUCAGCUUCUGCCCGUGUGAGAUUGGGCGCAACCGCGAGGGCGCAACCCGAAAGGAGCGAUGGGUGCUCAUCCGCCGAGACCAGCGCGUGGACCUCCGGCGGCAGCAGACCAGGUCAAAUUUCACCUGGUGGUGCCACUCGGAGCUGAGAUUGGUGGACGGAACGAAGCUGAGGCCUUUGUCAAGGAGGGAGCGCUGCGACGAGGUAAGUAGGAAUUUUUUGGACAAAUUUACAAUGUUUUUGUUUGUGUUUGUGGUGGUGUUGUUUGUGCUGGUGUGGCCCCCCCGACAGGUCGGGUUUUUGGGGACGCCAAGUUUAAAUGCUGAAGCCAAUGCUUCAGCAUAUUCCUGGCCGUGGUAUCGGUCCAAUGUAUAUUGUCCCUACCGGUUGCGAACUGGUCGCUGGUGAGUGCUGGGAUGAAAUGGUAGUUUUUGUGAAUAUAACUAUUAAUUUGCCGGAGGUUGUCCUUAUGUUCCUCGGGCAAAUUGUCGGAAAAGUUGAGGAGGGGGAUGAAGAUUUCGGCAUUGGGGAAUGUGAUUUUGGCCGUCUUAAGGGCCUUUUGAAGCUGUUUGAAGGUGGUAGAUUUGGGGUUUUGUUCUUUAUUGUUGAGGCCGAAAGAUAAGACCACCAUUUCAACCUCAGCACUAACUUUGGUUUUUUGCAGGAUGGCCUCUGCGUGGCGGAAGUUGGCCCCCGGGUAGCUGUCCAUCUGGAGGUCCUGGAGACCAGUGGAUGGAAGGAGACUGAUAUUGGAGUCCCCGAUCACCAGGACCUUCCUAUGAACAGACAGAAAAGAACGAGGACCAGCUAGCCCGCGCCUCCGGAGCGGAAGUGUCCGGAACGGGCGUGACUGGAGGAGGAGUGUCUACAAGAGGCACGUCUGGCAGAGGUGCGUCCGGGAGGGGCGCGUCCAGGAGUAAGGAAGUCGGUGUAGGUGGUCUCGGUUGGUCAGGACCAAGUUGGGACCAACUUGGAGGCGUGUCCAGGGGCAGCUGGGACCACCCUGGGUGCACUACCGGGGGUGACGCCGGCUGCUCAGGUAGCGGUGGCGCCUCGGAAAGCGCAGGGGGGACCCCGACCUCGGUCUCGACACGCCCAGGCGGCCCGGGUGGCGGGACCAGGGGAGCCUGAACCGUGGAGCAGUCAGGAGGACUACUACAUGGCUCCAGGGGGCGUGUCGCUCUCUGGGGCCUGGAUGGUGCUGCAGCCAGAGAGGAAGGUGACAACACCGGGAAGGGGACCGGGGUGACAGGUCCCCUAGGACCCGGAACCGGUUCCACCACCGGGGACCAGUCCCCGACCACCGGGUCGGUCAUGGUGGACGCCGUAGCGCGCGCAGGAGCGUGCAGGGUCGGGACCGGCAGCGGCACGGUGGACACCGUGGCGCGUGCAGGAGCGUGCAGGGUUGGAACCGGCAGGGUCCGCGAGGGUUGCACUGGGGGGUGCACUGCAUCCACCACCAUUCGGGUGCUGGACGGGUCCAAGCGGACUGGUGACCCCGUCUGCUGCGAUCGCGCGGGACUCCCCCCCUCGUCCACGGCACGAGCGUCAACACAGAUAGAGAUCACCAGACCCUCGGCCAGCCGAAGUGUCUCGGCGGUCAAUCUGCGUCCCAGGUGUGUCUUGGCCCACGCCGAGGCCACCUGGAAUGGGUCCUGCCAGUUCUGUCCAAUAAAGACACUCAAUUUACUAAUUUCA